rnacentral:rRNA from 1 species
CCUACGGGAGGCAGCAGUGGGGAAUCUUGCGCAAUGGGCGAAAGCCUGACGCAGCCAUGCCGCGUGAAUGAUGAAGGUCUUAGGAUUGUAAAAUUCUUUCACCGGGGACGAUAAUGACGGUACCCGGAGAAGAAGCCCCGGCUAACUUCGUGCCAGCAGCCGCGGUAAUACGAAGGGGGCUAGCGUUGCUCGGAAUUACUGGGCGUAAAGGGAGCGUAGGCGGAUAGUUUAGUCAGAGGUGAAAGCCCAGGGCUCAACCUUGGAAUUGCCUUUGAUACUGGCUAUCUUGAGUAUGGGAGAGGUAUGCGGAACUCCGAGUGUAGAGGUGAAAUUCGUAGAUAUUCGGAAGAACACCAGUGGCGAAGGCGGCAUACUGGCCCAUUACUGACGCUGAGGCUCGAAAGCGUGGGGAGCAAACAGGAUUAGAUACCCUGGUAGUCCACGCUGUAAACGAUGAGUGCUAGUUGUCGGCAUGCAUGCAUGUCGGUGCGCAGCUACGCAUUAAGACACUCCGCCGUCGGGGAGGUACGGUCGGCGAAGAAUUAAAACUAACGAAAGGAAAGUUAGACGGCGUGAGACGUGCCGAACGGACGACGACGAGGGAGGAGG